CUUAUAUAUUAUUAUAGGUACGUGCGCACAUGUGUGCGGAGUGCGUCUGCUCGGGCGCAUGAUGGAGAUAAUAAAAUACGAUGUCUUACGAACGCACCUCUACGUAUGCGUAUAUGCACGACGUAUCAAGCUUGUCGAUGGCCCGCAAAUUUAUAGCAACAUAUAAUAUAUAUAUGUUUAUACUUGUAUUGAAGUUAAGUGGGUCGAGCUCUAACGCGCGCCGUCUUGUCGUCUCCGCUGGCGACGUAUAUGAAUUUCGCGCCACUCUUCUUUAAAAAGUUCGAGUCGGCCCGAAAUCUAGGUCGACCGGUACCGUUUCGCACUUGUGCAGCGCCGAAACGACGACGACGCAUUAUUUGCUGAAUGUCAAUAAUAAUAAUAAUAAUAAUAGGUUAUUAUUGUUAUUGAAUGACGUGUGGCCGCCGAAUAUAUAUAUAUAUAUUGUUAAUAAUUAUUGUACAACACAUUCGGCGGCCUUUCGCAGUUCGCGAAAUGCACCUAAUACUUAUAUUAAGAAGGGUUCGAUUAUCAAUUAUGACUCGUAAUAUUCAUAAUAUUAUGUUUCUAGGGCUACUGCAGUAGACCACGUUCGGUCGAGAUCUCGAAGAUUUACCAGCGACCGCCGACCCGAACACGAUCCCGAAGGCACACAUUGAUCAUAACACUCAUACAUCCACGUCAAACAUAAAAAUAUCGCAGGUCAAUUUUCGUGAUUUUUGAGAACACCUCCCUAUGGUAUUCGAACAGAGUUUCAUAGAAAAGAACAUUAUUAUUUAAAGUUUCGCUCAAAGUCUAAAACACGAGAAAACCGAUUACACAUACCUAUCUGCAGUUGCUAUAGACUGUUUCUAAAAUCUAUGCUUUUAUCUCGUUUUGUGUACUCCGAAGAGGGGCAGAAUUUUAUGUACUUUAAUCCAUUAUAGUUGACCCAAAUAAUAUCGUUGCCAUAUACUACAGCAGACAAGAGCACUUCUGGCGUUUUGCGAUUGACAGCAAAUGUGAUAGACUUCAGAGUGUAUAUAUUAUAUAUUAUACAGGUAAAUAAAAAGGAGUAUUGUUUACGUUAAGACGUCAAGUUAUUUAAACAAUCAAACACGACGUGAUUCCAAAACCGUCACAGUUCAAAAAUAUCAGAACCAGAAAAUAACGUGCGUGAAGUUGACCCACCCACUUUGGCUUAGCGGUUCAAAAUCUUCGCACGUCAGAAAAUAAGUGGUCGACGGGGAUUUACUAGCUGCACGGAGAGACCACUAUAAAUAAUUAUAAUGAUACACUAUAUGCAGAGCGCAGUAGCUGCAGAAAGACCUGACAAAUUAAAUAACUUUUGUUUUGAUCUAUAUUUAAAUUUUUAUUUUUAUUUUAAAUAAUGUAUAAUU